GACGAACGCUGGCGGCGUGCUUAACACAUGCAAGUCGAACGGAAAGGCCCUGCUCUUGUGGGGUGCUCGAGUGGCGAACGGGUGAGUAACACGUGAGUAACCUGCCCUUGACUUUGGGAUAACUUCAGGAAACUGGGGCUAAUACCGGAUAGGAGCUCCUGCUGCAUGGUGGGGGUUGGAAAGUUUCGGCGGUUGGGGAUGGACUCGCGGCUUAUCAGCUUGUUGGUGGGGUAGUGGCUUACCAAGGCUUUGACGGGUAGCCGGCCUGAGAGGGUGACCGGCAACAUUGGGACUGAGAUACGGCCCAGACUCCUACGGGAGGCAGCAGUGGGGAAGAUUGCACGAUGGGGGGGAGCCGGAUGCAGGAACGCCGCGUGCGGGAUGACGGCCUUCGGGUUGUAAACCGCUUUCGCCGGUGACGGAGCGGGAGUGAAGGUAAUGGAUAAAGAAGCACCGGCUAACUACGUG
rnacentral:rRNA from 1 species